UGUGUGUGUAAUAAAAUAAAAAAUAAUAUUACAAAAAUAAACUUGAUGGUUGGUCAUGGUCAGCGACCUUUAUGACUAUAUGGCCUUUUAAUGAUGAAAGGAAUACUUCACCUAUGCAUAUGAAAUGUUAUGAGAAAUAAUAGGAGCAAUGCCCUUGAAAAUACACAUAAUUACAAAGUCAAUAAAUGGGCAAUAAAUGGUUGAGCCCCCAUCUAAUGCACACGAGCAACCCUGUCUUCACUUACCUUCUUGUUAGAAUGAAAAAUACUCAAACAGGUCGUUGCGUUCUUGUUCAAAGUUUAAACAUAAGACAGCAAACACAUAUGAUCCUCAUUUUUUUUGAAACAUGUGAUCAUCAUUAAAUUAAUAUGAAUUUUUCUCCAUCCAUAAGAAUAUCAUAAGUAUUUGUCCUCCA
rnacentral:lncRNA from 1 species